AGAGUUUGAUCCUGGCUCAGGAUGAACGCUGGCGGCGUGCCUAACACAUGCAAGUCGAGCGGGAAGCCUUUGAAUGAAACUUCGGUCGAAUGAUAAGGUGGAUAGCGGCGGACGGGUGAGUAACGCGUAGGUAAGCUGCCCUUCACACAGGGAUAGCCUAGGGAAACUUGGAUUAAUACCUGAUAAUGCAUUUUGAUCACAUGUUCGAAAUGCCAAAGAUUUAUCGGUGAAGGAUGCACCUGCGUCUGAUUAGCUAGUUGGUGAGGUAACGGCCCACCAAGGCAACGAUCAGUAGCCGACCUGAGAGGGUAAUCGGCCACAUUGGAACUGAGACACGGUCCAAACUCCUACGGGAGGCAGCAGUGAGGAAUAUUGCACAAUGGAGGAAACUCUGAUGCAGCAACGCCGCGUGAGCGAUGAAGGUCUUCGGAUCGUAAAGCUCUGUCCUUGGGGACGAAUACUGACGGUACCCAAGGAGGAAGCCCCGGCUAACUACGUGCCAGCAGCCGCGGUAAUACGUAGGGGGCGAGCGUUAUCCGGAAUUAUUGGGCGUAAAGAGUACGUAGGUGGCUGCGUAAGCGAGAGGUGAAAGCCCGGGGCUUAACUCCGGCGAGCCUUUCGAACUGCGUGGCUUGAGUGCAGGAGGGGAAAGUGGAAUUCCUAGUGUAGCGGUGAAAUGCGUAGAUAUUAGGAGGAACACCAGUGGCGAAGGCGACUUUCUGGACUGUAACUGACACUGAGGUACGAAAGCGUGGGGAGCAAACAGGAUUAGAUACCCUGGUAGUCCACGCUGUAAACGAUGAGCACUAGAUGUUGGCGAUAUAGUGUCAGCGGUACAGCGAAAGUGUUAAGUAUUCCACCUGGGGAGUACGCCGGCAACGGUGAAACUCAAAGGAAUUGACGG
rnacentral:rRNA from 1 species